GUACCAUACAAAAAGAAACAAUGACAAAUACUCAAAAUAAUACAUGGUGGUGGAACUCUCUUAAUCAAUAAGUGAGAAGUUACUAUUAUAUAUUAUUUUAAUUAUAUAAAAUCAUAAAAGGCUUAUC
rfam:Lutibacter sp. LPB0138, complete genome.